rnacentral:rRNA from 1 species
GACGAACGCUGCGGGGGGGCUAACCCAUUCCAGGCCAACGGGAAAGCCCCGGCUUUGGUGGGUGCUCGGGGGGCCAACGGGGGAGGAACACGUUGGUUACCCGCCCCUUACCUUGGGGUUACCUUAGGAAAACUGGGGCAAUAACGGAUAAGAAGCCCCGCCGCCAGGUGGGGGGUGGAAAGGUUUCGGCGGUUGGGGAUGGACUCGCGGCUUAUCAGCUUGUUGGUGGGGUAGUGGCUUACCAAGGCUUUGACGGGUAGCCGGCCUGAGAGGGUGACCGGCCACAUUGGGACUGAGAUACGGCCCAGACUCCUACGGGAGGCAGCAGUGGGGAAUAUUGCACAAUGGGCGGAAGCCUGAUGCAGCAACGCCGCGUGCGGGAUGACGGCCUUCGGGUUGUAAACCGCUUUCGCCUGUGACGAAGCGUGAGUGACGGUAAUGGGUAAAGAAGCACCGGCUAACUACGUG